UAACAAAUUCUUAAAUAGAUUAUAAAGUUUUAGCCUCCUGAGAACAUGUCUGACUGGAGUAAUAGAUUAUUUUUUAAACUGGAUUUGGUAAAAUAAAUGCAUCUCUUCCCCAAAACUAAGAUAGUCUUGGGUAUGAAGAUUUUAUAAUCUCCAAAAAGAGAUUUUUUUAAUGCUAUUUAAAAUUGUUUCUGCAAUUAGAGAAAAAGGAAUUAUUCCAAAUUAACUUUAUAAAGCCUUUGUUAAUUGAAUAUUCAAACCUGACAAAAAUAGCUUACUAAUUUUAUUAAUAAAAACUGAUGCCAAGAUAAUAAACUAUUCACAAGUAUAAUCCGGAAGUAUAUUUUUAACAGGGAUAUAUCAUAACCAAAUGGAGUUGAUGGCAGAAUGAUUCUACCUUAGGAAAAUAUUAAAAAUUAUGAUACAAUUAAUUACAAAUAUAUUAAUACAAUAAAAUUGGCAAAAGGAAAAUAAUAUCAAUAGUUUCAAAAAAACUUUGAUUAAGUUCAACAUCUACACCUAAAUUAAAAAAUAAUUCAUAGUGGCAUAUCCAUUAUGAUAAGAAAUAAGUCAAAGGAUACAUUCCAAAGCCAUUUGGCCAGAAAAUGAAUUAUGAAAUAUAAAGAUUUAAAAUCAGGUGGAAAAUUAUAUUAUUUUUGAUGACCUGGAAAAGCUGAGAAUGAAUUAAAUAUUCGAUUGAAAACAAUGAGGGAAUUCAGAAAGAUAGCUGGUUACAAAAAUUGUUUCAUAUAUGAGAUAGAAGAAAAGGCUAAACAGCAUCAUGAAGAAUCAACCAAACAUUUUGCAAGAGUGGGAUACAUGGCAGGACAGCUAACCAUGAACAGGAAGGGAAAAAAGACUGCCAGAUUAAAAGAGCCUUAAAUGACCCAAUAACCAAAUAUAAUAUGUGGUCACUGAUUGCUUCCUGGAUUGGGUAAACCAGUGUAAAUAACAUUUUUGCUCAAUUGGGAAAAUUUGAUGAGAGAUGAUAAAAAAUUUCUCAACUGGGAAAAAUGGAAAAUAUUCACUGAAAAUAGCACAUAUUGUGUGAUGUCAUUUGACUGAUAUCAUUUUGGUAAAUGGUAUAUACACAUACAUAUGAUAUAUAUAAUGGGUAUAUUGUAUGCAUGCAUGUUUGUAGAUGUAGAUAAGUUGGUAGAUAUUGAUAUAAAUACAGAAAAACAUCUGGAAACAUGUAACAUUAGAUAUUAACUGUACUAAUCUUUGGGUAAGAGGAAAUGGGUAUUUUAUAUGCAUAUUUUAACUUAUGUAUAUAUUCUAAAUUUCAGCAAUACUUUUGAACAAUUAAUAGAUUUUUAAAAUUAAAUGAAUAAAAUUAGUAUAUACAUUUUUAUACACCAAAGUGAUCAAUGAGAAAAUAUAAUAAAAUUUUUAUAAUUGCAAUGCCGAAGAAUAUUUAUUUCAUGUGUUACAAAACUUACACAUUAGAAAUAAGUGUUGUGUCCUCAUGAAUGGAUUAAUGUCAGCUGUGUCCUCAUGAAUGGAUUAAUGUUGCCAUGGAAUUAGAUUUGUGGGAAUAGCUUUGUUAGAAAAGGAAGCUCUCUCUGGCUCUCUUGUUUUUGCCUUCUUGCCAGGUGAUGUCUUCUGCCAUGUUAUGACAUAACAAGAUGGCCCUCACCAGCUGCCUGUAUCAAGCUCUUGGACUUUCCAUCCUCCAGAAUUAUAGGUUCCAAAUCUUCAGGAAAAAAUAAGAGUGGGAGGAGCUGGAUGGAGAAGAAAAGCUAACGACAACAGAAGCAGUUUAUUCAAGGUGACGUCUGAUUACCCUGGCCUGUCUUCAGAAAGAAUCCUACCCCUGAUGCUUCCUCUUGGUAAUUUUCCAACCACCGACCUCCUAUGCUGCUCCUCGGCUGUAAAUUUCCACUUGUCUAUGCUGCAUUCGGAGGUGAGCCCAAUCUCUCAUCUCCACUGUAAGAGACUCCAUUGCAGUGGUGCCUGUAACUAUUGUGAUGGUGCUGAAAAAAACUCUUACUGUGCUUUAACAAGCAUCACUGAAUAUGAUUUUUCUUCAAUAAAAACUCACAAAGAAGGUAAAAAUCAGGAGAAACUAUGAGAGUUUUUCAGAGACUAUUUAAUAAUGUAAUAUAGGAAUAGUCUGGAUGAUAGUCGGUGAAUACAAGUUCUAUACUAGUAUAUUAGCUUUCCGUUGUUGCUAGAAAAAAUCAUCUAAGACUUAGAGGCAUAAAACAACAUAAACUUAUUAUCUCACAGUUGUAUAGGUCAGAAGUCUAACACAGAUCUCACUGGGCUAAAAUCAAGGUGUCAGCAAGGCUAAGUUUAUUUCUGGAGGCUCUAGGGGGGAAAUCCAAGUCUUUGCCUUUUUCAGCUUCCAAAGGCUGCCUCCUGUCUUCAAGGCCG
rnacentral:lncRNA from 1 species